UAACCAUGCAAGUCGAACGCUCACCUUCGGGUGGGAGUGGCAGACGGGUGAGUAACACGUGGGAACGUACCCUUUGGUUCGGGACAACUCUGGGAAACUGGAGCUAAUACCGGAUACGCCCUUUUGGGGAAAGGUUUACUGCCGAAGGAUCGGCCCGCGUCCGAUUAGCUAGUUGGUGGGGUAACGGCCUACCAGGGCGACGAUCAGUAGCUGGUCUGAGAGGAUGAUCAGCCACACUGGGACUGAGGCACGGCCCAGACUCCUACGGGAGGCAGCAGUGGGGAAUAUUGGACAAUGGGCGCAAGCCUGAUCCAGCCAUGCCGCGUGAGUGAUGAAGGCCUUAGGGUUGUAAAGCUCUUUUAUCCGGGACGAUAAUGACGGUACCGGAGGAAUAAGCCCCGGCUAACUUCGUGCCAGCAGCCGCGGUAAUACGAAGGGGGCUAGCGUUGCUCGGAAUCACUGGGCGUAAAGGGCGCGUAGGCGGCGUUUUAAGUCGGGGGUGAAAGCCUGUGGCUCAACCACAGAAUGGCCUUCGAUACUGGGACGCUUGAGUCUGGUAGAGGUUGGUGGAACUGCGAGUGUAGAGGUGAAAUUCGUAGAUAUUCGCAAGAACACCGGUGGCGAAGGCGGCCAACUGGACCGGCACUGACGCUGAGGCGCGAAAGCGUGGGGAGCAAACAGGAUUAGAUACCCUGGUAGUCCACGCUGUAAACGAUGAAUGCUAGCUGUUGGGAUGCAUGCAUCUCAG
rnacentral:rRNA from 1 species